rnacentral:rRNA from 1 species
UACGGGGGGGGCAAGCGUUGUUCGGAAUUACUGGGCGUAAAGGGCUCGUAGGCGGCCAACUAAGUCCGACGUGAAAUCCCCAGGCUUAACCUGGGAACUGCGUCGGAUACUGGAUGGCUUGAAUUCGGGAGAGGGAUGCAGAAUUCCAGGUGUAGCGGUGAAAUGCGUAGAUAUCUGGAGGAACACCGGUGGCGAAGGCGGCAUCCUGGACCGACAUUGACGCUGAGGCGCGAAAGCCAGGGGAGCAAACGGG